GAUGAAGAACUUAGCAAAAUGCGAUAAGUAAUGUGAAUUGCAGAAUUCAGUGAAUCAUCGAAUCUUUGAACGCACAUUGCGCCCGCUGGUAUUCCGGCGGGCAUGCCUGUUCGAGCGUCAUUUCAACCCUCAAGCCCCCGGGUUUGGUGUUGGGGAUCGGCUCUGCCCUUCUGGGCGGUGCCGCCCCCGAAAUACAUUGGCGGUCUCGCUGCAGCCUCCAUUGCGUAGUAGCUAACACCUCGCAACUGGAACGCGGCGCGGCCAUGCCGUAAAACCCCAACUUCUGAAUGUUGACCUCGGAUCAGGUAGGAAUACCCGCUGAACUUAAGCAUAUCAAUAAGCGGAGGA
rnacentral:misc_RNA from 1 species